GCUCCUUAUGCUUUUGCACCCUGAGAAGUAUCUGGAUCUGGCAUUAUUCUACAUUAGUAUUUCAUGCACAUUCCUUACAAUUGAAACCUCAACUCUUCUGAAAUCUACCACAAACUUUCACUGCAUCUACUACAUCAAAGAGCAAGACGACCUCUAUGCAAUAGGAGAAAUGAAAAGACUUCCUGAAUUCUGAGCCCAGAUACAAGGCAAUUUCAGUAACCUUCCUGUCACUGCCUCCCUCCUGUCUUCUGAUGAGUUGGCUGGUUGGG
rnacentral:lncRNA from 1 species